rnacentral:lncRNA from 1 species
UCAAACUAACGGACUGAAUAAAAAUAAUUCGUUUUCGAUUAUGCCCCCAUUAACGUCAUAGCGGCAACAAAAAUUAUAUUAUCCGCUAAUUAGUCUAGCGGACUGCUGGGUGGGUGCUGCGAUUUCUGCGAUUUCGAACCUAGUUCGAUCAAAUCACACAAGGAAAAUGAAGGAAAAGGUGAGCUGACUAUAGUGCUUCAAUUUCUGCGAUUUGGGUGUUGCGAUUUCUGCGAUUUGGAACCCAGUUCGAAGAAUUAAAAUUGACCAUUUAAUUGGCAACUUGGUUGUGAAAACUGUGAAAAGGAAUUGGGGAAAAAUUACUGGUGUUGUGAUUUCUGUGAUUUGGUACCCUAGUUAGGGAAUUGGGGCAAAAUUGACUGCAGAUCGGCACCUUGUUGAUUGGCAACUUAUUCGUUGUGCGUUUCGUUGCAAGUAAGUACUUUAAUUAAUGUUCCUUAGGGCUUUUAUUAUUUUGUCUUAGGUCAUGAAUUUGAAUGUAGUUUUUAUACCGGUUAAAUGCAUACCUUCAAGUAUUUUGUAUCAUAAUUUUUAUUUUUUACUCCCUUGUGUAGAGUCAAAUGAUGUAGUACGAAGUAUGGGUGUUUUUUCUCUCUUCUUUUCCCUAGAAAUUUGUUAUAAUACUUAUGUAUUGCAUGAAGAUCGAUCUAUAUCAUAUGAUACGUAAUUUCUACUUGGUGAUUUCUGUUAAUAGAUAUCACAGUCAAUAUGGCUAAACUUAAUUAAUCAUUGAUAUUUGCAUUCAUUAUCUCAACUCAGCUAAUGUAUCAAAUUCACUAUUUAAUUUUUUGGGUUUGUUUAUUCCUUUGGCAUGCAUGAAGGAUCUAUUGGGUUUCAAUAACAUAUGUAUUCAACUAUCUAAUUGUGUGGGAGAAGAUGACCGAUAUGCAUGUAAUAAGAAAUAUCUUUAUACUUGGUUGCUUAUCUAAAUAACAUAUGUAGGUGUCCAUAGCACUAUUGUUGCAUGGAGGGGUAUAGAAGCCCCCAAUAAUACCGUCAUACCAAGGAUAGGGAGGAGAUCUACAUAUUUGGAAAUGCUCUGUUUCAAAAUUGUGUAAAUUUGACUUAAAUCGUUUGUUAUAGUAGUUAUUAAUGCCCUUAUCUUUGUUAAUGUUUAUUUUUGAAGGCUAUAAUGAAGAAAUAGAUCAAUAAUUUAAUGCACAUAGGUUGAGUUCCUAGUUUUAUAGAAGUUUUUAGUAUUGGGAUUUAAAAAAAAGCUGAAAAUGGAAAUGUAGAUUCUAAUGAUUUUUAACAAUUUUUCAUGUUGCAUUCUUUUUACUGCUGAUCGUUUAAAUUUUGGAGCAAAUAGUUUGCAAUUUUAAAAGGACCUUAGAGACUAGUUGUUGAUCACCUAUACACUUGAUUUUUGUAUAUAUUUUUAUUUGUUGAAAACAUGGCAUAUGCACUGGCUCCCUGCCCUCUCCCUUUUAGCUACACAAUAGUUUAAUUCUUCUGUUUGGAUUGAGUUUGCUGAUACUCAAGUGAUUGUUGUUUAUGCCCGCGUUUUGUGGAUCAGUGUAUGAGCAGUGGGUUAGUGGCUUGAUUUGUCAUGAUUUAGCCUUUUUCUUUUUUAUUGUAAGCUUUGGUUUAACAACUUAUUGGGGGAAUCCCAUUUUCAUGUCUGCUUGGAUUAUCCCUAUUCCAAAGGAUAAUAUGAAUUGUUACUUUACUAUAAAUGAUUAUUUUGAUGUAAUUACUGUUUUGAUAAUCACACUUAAUAUUUUCCAUGGACCUAAGAUAUAUUAUAGAGAGUCAAUUUUAAAGUCAAUUACCUUAUUUCAGAUUUAUAUUGAUUUCUAGAAUGGUUGUGCUAGCUCAUUUAGCAGUCCUCCAUGAAGUAAUAUAAAAGUUGUUAGGAUUCUCUUUUGGGUUCGCUAUGAUUGAUCUGUUAAAGUUUUAAAUCUUGAUGUUAUUGCAUAUGAUGAAUGCCAUCUUUGUGUCUGCUUGUCAAUUUACUUGUUUAUUGCAGGUUCUUGAUCCAAGAUCCACAGCUAGUAUGUCUGUUGAUGUAAGGUGUAUUGGAGAGAAGAAGAUCGAUGGGGAGGACUGUUUCUCCCUCAAGCUUUGUUUUGAAACGUUUUGUAAGGUUUCUAUUAAUAGCUUGAGGGUUAGCCUUGUCUUUUGUUUUUCUUAGAUAGGGUCAUUUUUGUAUUUUUGUUCCAGCAUACCAUUACUAGUUUGUUACGUUCAAUUGUUGAGUUGUAGGUUGCCGCCAUGUGCUUUCGUUCCUUCUAGAUUUGGAGCUGAGCAUGAGCAUGUUAUUUGUAUGAAAUCACUUGCCCAGUUGAGGAUAUGAAUGAAUUAAGUUGCUUCCUUGCUCCCUAC